GACGAACGCUGGCGGCGUGCUUAACACAUGCAAGUCGGACGGAAAGUCCCUGCUUUUGUGGGGUGCUCGAGUGGCGAACGGGUGAGUAACACGUGAGUAACCUGCCCUUGACUUUGGGAUAACUUCAGGAAACUUGGGCUAAUACCGGAUAGGAGCUCCUGCUGCAUGGUGGGGGUUGGAAAGUUUCGGCGGUUGGGGAUGAACUCGCGGCUUAUCAGCUUGUUGGUGGGGUAGUGGCUUACCAAGGCUUUGACGGGUAGCCGGCCUGAGAGGGUGACCGGCCACAUUGGGACUGAGAUACGGCCCAGACUCCUACGGGAGGCAGCAGUGGGGAAUAUUGCACAAUGGGCGGAAGCCUGAUGCAGAAACGCCGCGUGCGGGAUGACGGCCUUCGGGUUGUAAACCGCUUUCGCCUGUGACGAAGCGUGAGUGACGGUAAUGGGUAAAGAAGCACCGGCUAACUACGUG
rnacentral:rRNA from 1 species